rnacentral:lncRNA from 1 species
AGAUUGACAAACAUCAGCUCCAAUGGAGAGUUUGGGGAUGAAUUAACAAAAAGAACUCAGGCCCCGAAAGAAUUGCAACUAUGAAUCACUAGAGAUUUGGAAGUGGACUUAACCCUCUUCAGAAGUAACAUCCACCAAAGCAUGAAUGGGCAGCAACACAUUAACUACAAAAUGGUAAUAUUUGGUUAAACCACACAGCAACUCCUGAAAGUUUAGAUGAAUAUUUGGAGGUUUUUGUUUAUCAUGAUUCUCAGAAGAGAAACAGUACUAGGAAUAACCCAUUUGCAAGGAAGCUAGAUUUUACAUGUGAAUUUAGAGGAUUUAAAGGUCAGUUGAGAACUACAUUUGACUUUGAUACUUUUAAGUAGGAUGUGUGCUUUGUAAUUUUAUUCUAAAGUAUGGUAUAAAAGAUUAUUCUAACUUUGAAGAGCACUAUUAUAAGUGCAUUUUGAGCCUAAUUUAUG